GGAGGUGCCAGGGUAAAUCUGUGAGCAAGAUGCCCCCAAAUGAUCUUCGAACUCUUGAGAGAGGCUCCCAGUCGAUUCAAAGUGUGCCAUGAUGUUCUUUUCAAAAUUCUCCAAAUCAGUUUAAUUUCAAAUUCAAAUAGGUAUAUGCUAUGAAACAUUUUUAGAGAAAAGUGGGAAGGACAUGGCAAGCACCAAAAAAUCAGAAGUGCUGGGUGCCUCGGCUCCAAGGGAAAGCAGGCCAUGUGAGUUGAAGACUACUUUUCAGUGGUACUCCAAAGGCAAACCUUUGAGAAGCCCGCUCAAGCUGAUUUCCAAGUCUCCUGUCUCAUCUUGAGCAGAUCUACCCGUGGUUAGAGGCAGCCCAGUGUUUCGUUGGUUCGAAUCCUGGGUGCGGACAUGGCACUGCUCAUCAAACCACGCUGAGACAGCAUCCCACAUGCCACAACCAGAAGGACCCACAACGAAGAAUAUACAACUACGUACCGGGGGGCUUUGGG
rnacentral:lncRNA from 1 species